rnacentral:rRNA from 1 species
UCGAUAGUCUUUCGCCCCAUGCGCAGAUUUGACGAUCGAUUUGCACGUCAGAACCGCUGCGAGCCUCCACCAGAGUUUCCUCUGGCUUCACCCUAUCCACGCAUAGUUCACCAUCUUUCGGGUCCGAACAGUUAUGCUCUUACUCAAAUCCAUCCGAAGACAUCAGGAUCGGUCGAUGAUGCACCCGUAAGGGCUCCCACCUCCGUUCACUUUCAUUACGCUUGAGGGUUUAACACCCAAAAACUCGCAUAAAUGUUCGACUCCUUGGUCCGUGUUUCAAGACGGGUGGCUGAUGACCAUUAUGCCAGCAUCCUAGCCGAAGCGCGGUCCUCAGUCCCAGCGGCGGUAUUACACAGCAGGCUAUAACACUCCCGGGGGAGUCACGUUCCUGAAGUCUUUAUCCCGCCGCCGAAACUGAUGCUGGCCUCAACCAAGCGGAGUGCACCGGUGAGAACACCGGAUGAUCCGCAAGGCAAAGGUCUGGUCACAAGCCCUUCCCUUUCAACAAUUUCACGUACUAUUUAACCCUCUUUUCAAAGUGCUUUUCAUCUUUCGAUCACUCUACUUGUGCGCUAUCGGUCUCUGGCCGGUAUUUAGCUUUAGAAGAAAUUUACCUCCCAUUUAGAGCAGCAUUCCCAAACUACUCGACUCGUCGAAGGAGAUUUACAGAGGCUCGGCAUCCAACCGUACGGGGCUCUCACCCUCUAAGGCGUCCUGUUCCAAGGAACUCGGAAGGUACCUAACCAAAAUCAUCCUCUACAAAUUACAACUCGGACCCGAGGGCCAGAUUUCAAAUUUGAGCUGUUGCCGCUUCACUCGCCGUUACUAGGGCAU